CACAAAAUCCAGCUAAAAUUUUAAUUUUUUGUGAGGGCUUUUUCAGCCACAAAUAAAGACCAAUUUGAAUUUUUGUAUUUGUGAGGGCUUUUUCGGUCACUAAUUUGUGAGGGUUUUUUUCGGCCACAAAAUAUUUGUCAGGUUGGAGGAUUUCUUGUAGUGAUUAUUUUCACUAUAAAUAGCAUUGAUACAAUCAACCCUAACAAACCCUAGCCGCCGAAUCCAGUUACCAUCUCACCCUCUCUGUGAAAACAUCGUCUUCAACCUUUCUUCUUCCUCUCGAACCUUAGGCUUCAUUCUUUCUUCUUCCUCUCAAAUCUUAGGCUUCACAAAAUAAAUUAAAAAACACAACAUUUUGACGACUACUAUGAGUAUUCCUAUUUUGACUGAAAAGGUUCUCUCACCACAACAAUGAGAUAACUGAAAGGCG
rnacentral:lncRNA from 1 species